rnacentral:rRNA from 1 species
GGCCUACCAUGGUGGUAACGGGUAACGGGGUGUUAGGGCACGACACCGGAGAGGGAGCCUGAGAAACGGCUACCACAUCCAAGGAUGGCAGCAGGCGCGCAAAUUACCCAAUCCCGACACGGGGAGGUAGUGACAAUAAAUAACAAUACGGGGUUCUUUCGGAUCUCGUAAUUGGAAUGAGUACAAUUUAAAUCUCUUAACGAGGAACAAUUGGAGGGCAAGUCUGGUGCCAGCAGCCGCGGUAAUUCCAGCUCCAAUAGCGUAUAUUAAAGUUGUUGCAGUUAAAAAGCUCGUAGUUGAAUUUCGGGAUCAGUAGGUUGGUCGUGCCACUGGUAUGCACUGGCCUUACUGAUUCCUCCUUCUUGUAGAACCGUAAUGCCAUUAAGUUGGUGUUGCGGGGAAACAGGACUGUUACUUUGAAAAAAUUAGAGUGUUUAAAGCAGGCUAACGCUUGAAUACAUUAGCAUGGAAUAAUGAAAUAGGACGUUCGAUCCUAUUUUGUUGGUUUCUAGGAUUGACGUAAUGAUUAAUAGGGAUAGUUGGGGGCAUUAGUAUUCAAUUGUCAGAGGUGAAAUUCUUGGAUUUAUUGAAGACUAACUACUGCGAAAGCAUUUGCCAAGGAUGUUUUCAUUAAUCAAGAACGAAAGUUAGGGGAUCGAAGACGAUCAGAUACCGUCGUAGUCUUAACCAUAAACUAUGCCGACAAGGGAUCGGAUGAUGUUAAUUUUUUAAUGACUCAUUCGGCGCCUUACGGGAAACCAAAGUGUUUGGGUUC